rnacentral:piRNA from 1 species
UCCUCUAACGAGUCCAUUUGCCACCACAGU